GAGGCGCCGAAGGCAGUGCUAGUGACUGGGGUGAAGUCGUAACAAGGUAGCCGUACCGGAAGGUGUGGCUGGAUCACCUCCUUUUAGGGAGACCUAACCUACUGAAGUUUGAAAGCAAUCAGCAAAUAGAACGCAGUAAGGUCAUCUCGAAGGUCGUGCGAGGGGGAGAAACGGGAGUCACUUCCAAAUUUAGGUUCGUGGACAUGGGCUAUUAGCUCAGGUGGUUAGAGCGCACCCCUGAUAAGGGUGAGGUCCCUGGUUCAAGUCCAGGAUGGCCCACCUGCACAGGUGGCAAAAACAAGAGAAGCUCCGAAUCAGCACCUUAUCUUAUAUACAUAUAUAAGAGAGAAUGCUGGCUCUGAGUAAAGAGUCCAGAGGAACCUUGAAAACUGCAUAGAGCUAGGUGAAAAAGCCAAAAAAGAAGACCGCAAGGUCAAGCUAAUAAGGGCUAACGGUGGAUACCUAGGCACCACAGAGGA
rnacentral:misc_RNA from 1 species